GUUUGUAGAAGCAACAGAUUUGACACAGGGGGAGAAGAUAGUCACAAUCAGUUCUGUUGUUCCCUUUGUCCUGUCCCUGAAUCACCACCUGGAGCAGCAGAAGCCUCAAGUCAUUUUCAAGAGCUGCCUGGUCAGAAGUCCUCAGGCAUCCCUGUACAAAAGAUUUCCUGGAAUCUUCAAUGUGAAAAUGGCCAGGACACAAGAUGGAAUCACUGCCCCCUUUUCAGAUCCAGUCUACCUCAAAGCAGCUGCAUUGGAUCUGUAUUUUUCUCUGAUGUGGGUGGAGCACCAUGUCCUCAAGGAGGAGGUCAAGGAAAUGGCACAAAAAGUGAAAGAACUGAUUCUGCAAGGACUGAGCAAGCUGUGUCUCUUGUUGAUGAAGAUGAGUGAGAGGACCAUAGUCUUGGACAAGAAGAAGGGCUGUUUGCAGCAUACAGUGGUUCCUCUUUUAAAAGUUGUGAGCUUACACCGCGGGACUUAGAGGUACCCAGUGUCACGGCUUCAUUGCUCCAGACCACCACAAUUGCUCAUCAUCUUCGUUUUCGGUUCACCCUGACAUUUCUAUUCCUCUUCUGACAACAGAACUUGACCAACUGCUCACCAGGCACAGCAAGGGCCUCCCGGACCGUUAUGCUGUUCUGCUAUUCCAAGGAUGUGUACCCGAAGAGAGAUACCCCGGUGGGCACAGAAUACAUAGCCUUCCCGUUGUGGCCAUCUAUUUCAGCACCGUUUCGCGCUGCUCUGAGACAAGCAUGGAGAAAUGAAAAAGUUCAAAUAUUCCAUGUUAUUGUUAAAAUAUGUGUUGACUGAAUAUAAGCAAGUGAUGUCUGCUAAAUAAUCAGGUUAGGUUUCUCCAGAAAUAAAUAAUUGUAAAUAACUGGCUUUAUUUACAAAUGACUGAUUCUGCAAGAAGGGCUGUUUGCACCCCAUGUUCAAGAAUAGCUUUUUUCUCGCUCACUCUAGGUUAAUUGAAAAUGAAAUCUCCAAAAUAUUGUUACUUUUUAAACAAAGCGAUUAUUGUUAUUAUUAAUUAAUUUAAAAUGAUAUAAAAGCCCCUUAGAUAUUCUCAGAUAUUCUCACACCGGAAAACAGGUCAAUUGCAUAGUCCCAGGGGCGAUGAGGAGGGAGACAGGUAGCGCGGGUCUUGGAGAAUACCUCCCUUAGAUCCUGAUAUUCUGCCGGGAUGUUGGGCAACCACAGGACUCUCAACCGAUGUGGAACCACAAGGGACAGGGAAACAGGUCUUCCGGUAUUCAGGUGACUAGUCAAUGAUUCUCAUCCUCGACCAUGAGAUGGUAGGGUUAUGGCGCUGAAGCCAAGGUAGGCAGAGGAUGAUCUUGUGAACUGGUGCAAUUGUGAUGAAGGGGAUGUUUUUCUGGUGAGGGUGAGUGGUCGGGUGAUGUGUGUGAUGGUUCUGGAUCCUAGAGACCGACAGCCGAGACCUUGAACCAGAAAAGGAGAGGAGAACGGGUAGGUAGUAAUAUUCAGAGAGGAUGCAAGGGUCUAAUCCAUAAAGCUGCCAGCGGCGUCGCAAUCCAGUAAAGCUGUAGACAAAGGGCAUGAGUGACAGUCAGCCAGAGUGAUGGGUACUAAAAAGAGUCUAACAGGAAGAGCAGUAGAUGGAAUACUCACUCCUGGUCCAGGUGAUGUAACAUCACGUGACCGUCCCUCUGCUCUAGUGGAUGCCGGAUUCUUUAGUAACAGACACCGCUGGCGCUUGUGCCCUCCCUGGCCACAGUGGCCGUCUGCGUCGUUCCACCGCGGGAAGGCAUGUGACCCCUACCUCCAUGGGUUCAGGGUCUGAUCCCGAACAUGCGCCGAAGAGGGAGAGAAGCGAUAAGAUGCAGGCACUCCCGGAGGAGGCUAUCCAGACAGAUGGACAUUGCAAUGAGUGUGUCCAGGGUGAGGUUGUCAUCUCGGCAGGCCAGUUCCGUCUGGACCUCCUCAGGCAGACCUCUUCUAAAUAAUGUGUGAAGCACCGGCUCAUUCCAUCCACUGGAAGCUGCUACUGCCCGGAAGGUAAGCUCAUACUCAGCAGCUGUCUGAUUCCCCUGCUGGAGCUGAAGCUCACCUCCCUCUCUGCCCUCCGUGGGAUGAUUGAAAAUACAUUUAAACAGAGCCAUGAACCCCUUAUAAGACUCCAGAUCCUCUCCUCUUUCCCAGACGGCCAUAGCCCAUUCCAAUGCCCUCCCAGUCAGCAGAGAAAUAACCGUGGCAACCUUAGACCUCUCGGUGGUGGGGGCUCCCAUCGGAUGUGCGAAAUGGAGGGAGCACUGAAGGAGGAAGCCACGGCAUUUGGAUGAUGUCCCGUCAUAUUUCUCCGGGAGGGAUAGACGGGCAUCGCUGACCUGAGCGGGUUGCUGAAUGGGCUGGUGUGCUGACUCGUUGGGUAGACUAGCUCUAGAAUAUCCUCCACUGUUGAGACGUUGUAGACUGCGGAGAACAUCUUCCAUGGUCGUCCCCAGUUGAGCCAGCUGAUCAUGGUGUUGACGAAGAAGUUCACCUUGUUCAUUGAUCGUUUGGGAGAUGUCCGGGUGUCCUGCUGCUUCCAUAUUUUGAGUUGGUAUUCUGUAAUGAUGGAGUGGUGAGUCCGAAGCAGGUGCAACGUGUUUAAUCAAACAACAAAACCAAGAACACGACACUAACUUAAGGCAGAAUGCCGAUACACAAGAACAAUACCAACUGGUGAGUGAACAUGGGAGAGUGACAUAUAAAGGGGAGAAAAUUAUGAAGGUAAUGGAGUCCAGGUGUGAAUCAUAAUGAUUCACAGGUGCUCGUAAUGAUGAGUGCCAGGUGUGCGUAAUGACGAAUCCCAGGACCGGUGGUUAUUACUCUGGCGACGUCAUAUGCCGGAGGGAAGGAGAGGAGCAGGAACAGACAUGACAGGGAUCUGUAAUUUUAUCUCAGACAUUCAAGCCAGUGUUCAAAUUGAAGGCUUAUUUCAAGUUCAGUAGCAGUUGUUUGAUGUCCCUUUAAUUCAAUUAUUGUAACUUUGUGGCAGGAUUGUUUUAGGUGUCUAGAGUAUAUCUGGAGAGAAAGAGAAAGCACUACAAUAUUUUGUUUGUGUUGUCAUAUUCAUGUGUCUUCCUCAUGGCUAACCAUGUAUUUCCAUGGAAAUAUAACGUUUAUUUGGAAAGUAAUAAAUAUAUAUUUUUCUAAAUCAUUCAUGAUUUGCAGAAAUGUAAUAUACUAACUAUUACUCUUGUUAAACAUAUGAAAUGGUAUUUCAUUUGGUGAAGAGCACAUUAUAACUAGACACUCAAAGUUUGGCACUUGAGACUUGACUCAGACUUGCCUGUCUUGACUUGAGACUUGACUUGGGACUUGAGUGCCAAAACUUGAGACUUACUUGUGACUUGUAAAACAAUGACUUGGUCCCACCUCUGGCGAUUGGAACCAAAAAUCUCACAUUUUGACUCAUCAGACCAAAGGUGUUACGGUGCGUGAAUGAGGACCCAAAAGCGAAUCAACUUAAACAGAGCUUCUUUAAUUACCAAACAUAGGUAGGCUCAGAUGGACCGGCAGAUUCCGACAGGACAGGACAAGGUUACAGCAAACAUGACGACAGUCUGGUUCAGGCAUGAAUGACACAAACAAACAAGAAUCCGACAAGGACAGGAGCAGAAACAGAGAGAGAUAUUGGGACCUAAUCAGAGGGAAAAAAGGGAACAGGUGGGGAACGGGGUGAAUGGGUAGUUAGAGGAGACAAGGGACAGCUGGGGGAAAGCGGGGGAGAAAAGGUAACCUAACACGACCAGCAGAGGGAGACAGGGUGAAGGGAAAGGACAGAGACAAGACAACAUGACAGUACAUGACAGUACCCCCCCACUCACCGAGCGCCUCCUGGCGCACUCGAGGAGGAAACCUGGCGGCAACGGAGGAAAUCAUCAAUCAGCGCACGGUCCAGCACGUCCCGAGAGGGA
rnacentral:lncRNA from 13 species